rnacentral:rRNA from 2 species
UGGGGAAUAUUGGACAAUGGGGGAAACCCUGAUCCAGCAAUGCCGCGUGUGUGAAGAAGGUCUUCGGAUUGUAAAGCACUUUUGGCAGGGACGAUGAUGACGGUACCUGCAGAAUAAGCCCCGGCUAACUUCGUGCCAGCAGCCGCGGUAAUACGAAGGGGGCUAGCGUUGCUCGGAAUGACUGGGCGUAAAGGGCGCGUAGGCGGCAUGUACAGUCAGAAGUGAAAUUCCUGGGCUCAACCUGGGGACUGCUUUUGAUACGUGCGAGCUAGAGUGAGGAAGAGGGUUGUGGAAUUUCCAGUGUAGAGGUGAAAUUCGUAGAUAUUGGAAAGAACACCGGUGGCGAAGGCGGCAACCUGGUCCUUAACUGACGCUGAGGCGCGAAAGCGUGGGGAGCAAACAGG